CAACCCUCAGGCCCCCAGUGCCUGGCGUUGGGGAUCGGCACACGGCCCGCGGCCUCUCUCCGGAGGGGACCCGCGGCGCCCGCCGGCCCCGAAAUCUAGUGGCGGUCUCGCUGUAGUCCUCCUCUGCGUAGUAGCAUACACCUCGCAGCUGGAACUUGGCGGUGGCCACGCCGUUAAACACCCCACUUCUGAA
rnacentral:misc_RNA from 1 species